GGUAGGGUAACGGCCUACCAAGGCGAUGAUGCAUAGCCGAGUUGAGAGACUGAUCGGCCACAUUGGGACUGAGACACGGCCCAAACUCCUACGGGAGGCAGCAGUAGGGAAUCUUCCACGAUGGACGCAAGUCUGAUGGAGCAACGCCGCGUGAGCGAAGAAGGGUUUCGGCUCGUAAAGCUCUGUUGUUGGUGAAGGAGGACAGGGGUAGUAACUGACCUUUGUUUGACGGUAAUCAAUUAGAAAGUCACGGCUAACUACGUGCCAGCAGCCGCGGUAAAU
rnacentral:rRNA from 1 species